rnacentral:rRNA from 1 species
AGUGAACGCUGGCGGUAGGCCUAACACAUGCAAGUCGAACGGCAGCACAGUAAGAGCUUGCUCUUACGGGUGGCGAGUGGCGGACGGGUGAGGAAUACAUCGGAAUCUACUUUUUCGUGGGGGAUAACGUAGGGAAACUUACGCUAAUACCGCAUACGACCUACGGGUGAAAGCAGGGGAUCUUCGGACCUUGCGCGAUUGAAUGAGCCGAUGUCGGAUUAGCUAGUUGGCGGGGUAAAGGCCCACCAAGGCGACGAUCCGUAGCUGGUCUGAGAGGAGGAUCAGCCACACUGGGACUGAGACACGGUCCAGACUCCUACGGGAGGCAGCAGUGGGGAAUAUUGGACAAUGGGCGCAAGCCUGAUCCAGCCAUACCGCGUGGGUGAAGAAGGCCUUCGGGUUGUAAAGCCCUUUUGUUGGGAAAGAAAUCCAGCCGGCUAAUACCUGGUUGGGAUGACGGUACCCAAAGAAUAAGCACCGGCUAACUUCGUG